rnacentral:rRNA from 1 species
GACGAACGCUGGCGGCGUGCUUAACACAUGCAAGUCGAACGGAAAGGCCCUGCUUUUGUGGGGUGUUCGAGUGGCGAACGGGUGAGUAACACGUGAGUAACCUGCCCUUGACUUUGGGAUAACUUCAGGAAACUGGGUCUAAUACCGGAUAGGAGCUCCUGCUGCAUGGUGGGGGUUGGAAAGUUUCGGCGGUUGGGGAGGGACUCGCGGCUUAUCAGCUUGUUGGUGGGGUAGUGGCCUACCAAGGCUUUGAAGGGUAGCCGGCCUGGGAGGGUGACCGGCCACCAUGGGACUGAGGUAGGGCCCAGACUCCUACGGGAGGCAGCAGUGGGGAAUAUUGCACAAUGGGCGGAAGCCUGAUGCAGCAACGCCGCGUGCGGGAUGACGGCCUUCGGGUUGUAAACCGCUUUCGCCUGUGACGAAGCGUGAGUGACGGUAAUGGGUAAAGAAGCACCGGCUAACUACGUG